UAGGGAAUUUUGCACAAUGGAGGAAACUCUGAUGCAGCGACGCCGCGUGAGUGAUGAAGGCCUUCGGGUCGUAAAGCUCUGUUCUCAGGGAAUAAAAAAAUGAAGGUACCUGAGGAGAAAGGACCGGCUAACUUCGUGCCAGCAGCCGCGGUAAGACGAGGGGUCCAAGCGUUGUUCGGAAUCAUUGGGCGUAAAGCGGGUGUAGGCGGCUCUGCAAGUCAGAAGUGAAAGCCCCAGGCUUAACCUGGGAAGUGCUUUUGAUACUGCAGAGCUUGAAUGUGGGAGAGGAUGGUGGAAUUCCAGGUGUAGUGGUGAAAUACGUAGAUAUCUGGAGGAACUCCGGUGGCGAAGGCGGCCAUCUGGCCCAACAUUGACGCUGAGACCCGAAAGCGUGGGGAUC
rnacentral:rRNA from 1 species